CGCGGGCAGCAGGUGGGACACAGGGGCAUGGGGUAGUAUGGGGACAUAGAGAGUAUGGGAGGAUGUGGGGAGUGGUUUGAGGUAAAAAGAGGAAGGGGGCAGAGUUUGCAGUGGUUUCAUUUCAUCCUGAGAGGGGACUGGGCGUCCCUGUGGCCCAAAGGUGGGGCCCUGAGCCGUAACCCCACAUGAGCCAUAACCCAAGAUGACCUCAUCGCCCUCUAUGUGCGUGACCCCAUGGCUGCACGUGACCCGCAGCCCUGGGGGAACCAUACCCCCACGUGACCCUGUGACUCCCUGACUCUGCCUGCCCCCAUCACGCUGUGACCCAAUGCCAUUUGGCCCCAUGACUCUGGGAUCCCUGCCCCCACCUCACCCAACCACAUAACCCCAUGUGACCAGUAACUCCAUGUCACCCCAUCUGACCCCAUCACUGUGACUCAGAACCCCACCUGACCCCAUAGCCCUACAUCAC
ensembl:lncRNA